UCCUACGGGUGGCAGCAGUGGGGAAUUUUGGACAAUGGGGGCAACCCUGAUCCAGCCAUGCCGCGUGCGGGAAGAAGGCCUUCGGGUUGUAAACCGCUUUUAGCCGGGAAGAAAAGGCGCCACCUAAUACGGGGCGUUCUUGACGGUACCGGCGGAAUAAGCACCGGCUAACUACGUGCCAGCAGCCGCGGUAAUACGUAGGGUGCGAGCGUUAAUCGGAAUUACUGGGCGUAAAGCGUGCGCAGGCGGUUCGUUAAGUCAGAUGUGAAAGCCCCGGGCUCAACCUGGGAACUGCAUUUGAAACUGGCGGGCUUGAGUAUGGCAGAGGGGGGUGGAAUUCCGCGUGUAGCAGUGAAAUGCGUAGAGAUGCGGAGGAACACCGAUGGCGAAGGCAGCCCCCUGGGCCAAUACUGACGCUCAGGCACGAAAGCGUGGGGAGCAAACAGGAUUAGAUACCCUGGUAGUCC
rnacentral:rRNA from 1 species